UCUUUCUUUUUUUUUCUCCCUCUCUCCUUUUCUCUUUCAUCAGAAUGAACAAGAGAAGAGAGGAUGAAAAAAUUGUUUCA
rnacentral:precursor_RNA from 1 species